rnacentral:rRNA from 1 species
UGGGGAAUAUUGCACCAUGGGCGAAAGCCUGAUGCAGCAACGCCGCGUGAGCGAUGAAGGCCUUCGGGUCGUAAAGCUCUGUCCUCAAGGAAGAUAAUGACGGUACUUGAGGAGGAAGUCCCGGCUAACUACGUGCCAGCAGCCGCGGUAAUACGUAGGGGGCUAGCGUUAUCCGGAAUUACUGGGCGUAAAGGGUGCGUAGGUGGUUUCUUAAGUCAGAGGUGAAAGGCUACGGCUCAACCGUAGUAAGCCUUUGAAACUGGGAGACUUGAGUGCAGGAGAGGAGAGUGGAAUUCCUAGUGUAGCGGUGAAAUGCGUAGAUAUUAGGAGGAACACCAGUUGCGAAGGCGGCUCUCUGGACUGUAACUGACACUGAGGCACGAAAGCGUGGGGAGCAAACAGG